GACGAACCGUGCGAACGUUGUUCGGAUUCACUGGGCUUAAAGGGCGCGUAGGCGGAUCCAUCAGUCUGUGGUGAAAGCCCCCGGCUCAACCGGGGAACAGCCGUGGAUACUGUGGGUCUGGAGGGAGGUAGGGGCAGCUGGAACUUCCGGUGGAGCGGUGAAAUGCGUAGAGAUCGGAAGGAACGCCGGUGGCGAAAGCGAGCUGCUGGACCUCUACUGACGCUGAGGCGCGAAAGCCAGGGGAGCAAACGGG
rnacentral:rRNA from 1 species